rnacentral:rRNA from 1 species
UACGAAGGGGGCUAGCGUUGCUCGGAAUCACUGGGCGUAAAGGGUGCGUAGGCGGGUCUUUAAGUCAGGGGUGAAAUCCUGGAGCUCAACUCCAGAACUGCCUUUGAUACUGAAGAUCUUGAGUUCGGGAGAGGUGAGUGGAACUGCGAGUGUAGAGGUGAAAUUCGUAGAUAUCGGGAGGAACAUCAGUGGCGAAGGCGGCUGCCUGGCCCAAUACUGACACUCAGGUGCGACAGCGUGGGGAGCAAACAGG